UAAACUAGGAUUAGAUUCCCUAUUAUUUUGAACUAGAUUAAUAUUACCAGGUUAGUAGUAGUUAUGUGCUUGAAAAUUAAAGAAGAUGGCGGUAUUUUAGUCUAUUCAGAGGAACCUGUCCUGUAAUCGAUGAUCCACGAUUUAUUAUACUUAUUUUAUAAGUUUGCAUAUCGCCGUAGGUGGAAUGUCCUUUAAGGGGUUUAAACAUUCAAGAGGUUUUUGCUUGUGAAAAUAAAUCAGGUCAAGAUGUAGCUAAUAAAUAAGAAGAGANGGGUUACAAUAAAUUUAUUUAUAACGGAAAAUAUAUGA
rnacentral:rRNA from 1 species